UUAGGAAGACAGGACUCGAACCCGCACCAAGAAACUCAAAAUCACUCGUACUCCAUUAUACGACCUCCUA
rnacentral:tRNA from 1 species